GGCCUUUAGCACCACUAAGUAUUAAAGGUCCCGCCUGCCCAGUGAAUCCCCCUUUUAAACGGCCGCGGUAUCCUAACCGUGCGAAGGUAGCGUAAUCACUUGUCUCUUAAAUGAGGACUAGUAUGAACGGCUUAAUGAGGGCCCAACUGUCUCCUAUGGCCAAUCAAUGAAACUGAUCUUCCAGUACAAAAGCUGGAAUACACCCAUAAGACGAGAAGACCCUGUGGAACUUUAAAUCAUAUCACUAAUAUAUAUACCACGAACUAACAUCUACAUAGUGAUCAUUUUUAGUUGGGGCGACUAUAGAACACAAAAAAACUUCUACGAUAUAAGGCUAACCCCGUAUAAGGCUAACACGCCAAAAACACUAAACCAACUGACCCAGUACUACUGACCAACGAACCAAGCUACCCCAGGGAUAACAGCGCCAUCCUCUUCUAGAGCCCAUAUCGCCAAGAGGGUUUACGACCUCGAUGUUGGAUCAGGACACCCAGGUGGUGUAGCCGCUGCCAAAGGUUCGUUUGUUCAACGACUAAAGUCCU
rnacentral:rRNA from 1 species